CUCGUAGGCGGUUCGUCGCGCCCGGUGUGAAAGUCCAUCGCUUAACGGUGGAUCCGCGCCGGGUACGGGCGGGCUUGAGUGCGGUAGGGGAGACUGGAAUUCCCGGUGUAACGGUGGAAUGUGUAGAUAUCGGGAAGAACACCAAUGGCGAAGGCAGGUCUCUGGGCCGUUACUGACGCUGAGGAGCGAAAGCGUGGGGAGCGAACA
rnacentral:rRNA from 1 species